GGGGAUGAAAUGGUCUCGACGGGGUGAAUGCAGUACGAAGAAGCAUGCCGAGCUACGCUGGUGGAGCUCGUUAAUACAACUGGCGAAAUCAUAUGUGGCAACACUAUGAACUACCGUCUAGCUGCCUAAUCAAUACGAUCUAGGUGCUGACCAUCCGACCAUCGUUCGCUCCUUGGCGAUGAAUCGGGUGUCAUUUUAGAGGAGCUGCUUUUUGGACAUUGAGUUUGUACCAAAAUUAAGACCACUACUCAUCGUGCAAUAGGCCUGUCUUUCGGCGUACGAUUGCAUUAAAUUCAUUGAAUGACUGAGCAUGGAGAGGCUUCGACUUCAGCACUUCGGACGCGGGUUCGACUCCCGCCAUCUCCAC
rnacentral:tmRNA from 1 species